rnacentral:misc_RNA from 1 species
GUGAAUCAUCGAAUCUUUGAACGCACCUUGCGCUCUCUGGUAUUCCGGAGAGCAUGUCUGUUUGAGUGUCAUGAACUCUUCAACCCACCGGUUCCUUGUUGGACCGGAUUGGUGUUUGGAUUUUGAGUGUUGCUAUUUAGUUAGCUCAUUCGUAAUACAUUAGCAUCUCAAUUUCGUAAUCGGAUUGACUCAGCGUAAUAGACUAUUCGCUGAGGACACCAUUUUGGUGGCCGAGACAUGAAAGAGUGGAAGCUUCAAACCCCUCCUAGUCAUUUUUAGAUUAGACCUCAGAUCAGGCAG